rnacentral:RNase_P_RNA from 1 species
UGAGUUAAUUAUACGGUUGCGGGCUACUUAAAGUAGCGUGAGGAAAGUCCGAGCAUCGCAGGGCAAGGGUGCUUGUUAACGGCAAGAGAAGGCGACUUCAAGGAAAGUGAACAGAAAUAUACCGCGGGGUUAACUCCGUAAGGUUGGAAUGGCGAGGUAAGAGCUCACCGUCUCCUUGGCGACAAGGAGAGCCAAUUAAACCCCACCCGAUGCAAGAUUGGGCUGUGAGCUUGCUUAAAUGCAAAGGCUGCCCGUCUGCUUACAGCCGUAAAUAUCGCUUGAGCUUGCAGGCGACUGCAAGAUUAGAUAGAUAACCGUACACGACAGAACUCGGCUUACAGAUUAAUCUCAAACU